CGUGCUUAACACAUGCAAGUCGAACGAUGAACCCCGCUUGCGGGGGGAUUAGUGGCGAACGGGUGAGUAACACGUGAGUAACCUGCCCUUAACUCUGGGAUAAGCCUUGGAAACGGGGUCUAAUACUGGAUAUUGACUUUUCCUCGCAUGGGGAUUGGUUGAAAGAUUUAUUGGUUUUGGAUGGACUCGCGGCCUAUCAGCUUGUUGGUGAGGUAAUGGCUCACCAAGGCGACGACGGGUAGCCGGCCUGAGAGGGUGACCGGCCACACUGGGACUGAGACACGGCCCAGACUCCUACGGGAGGCAGCAGUGGGGAAUAUUGCACAAUGGGCGCAAGCCUGAUGCAGCGACGCCGCGUGAGGGAUGACGGCCUUCGGGUUGUAAACCUCUUUCAGUAGGGAACAAGGCCAGUGUUUAGCUGGUUGAGGGUACUUGCAGAAGAAGCGCCGGCUAACUACGUGCCAGCAGCCGCGGUAAUACGUAGGGCGCAAGCGUUAUCCGGAAUUAUUGGGCGUAAAGAGCUCGUAGGCGGUUUGUCGCGUCUGCCGUGAAAGUCCGGGGCUCAACUCCGGAUCUGCGGUGGGUACGGGCAGACUAGAGUGAUGUAGGGGAGACUGGAAUUCCUGGUGUAGCGGUGAAAUGCGCAGAUAUCAGGAGGAACACCGAUGGCGAAGGCAGGUCUCUGGGCAUUAACUGACGCUGAGGAGCGAAAGCAUGGGGAGCGAACAGGAUUAGAUACCCUGGUAGUCCAUGCCGUAAACGUUGGGCACUAGGUGUG
rnacentral:rRNA from 1 species